rnacentral:rRNA from 1 species
AUGGCUCCGUCGGACCUUCCCUCGCGAGUGACGGCCCUCUUCCCGACCAGAUCGGCGACGGCGACGACCGGUGAUGAACACAUGCCUGCCCCAUUCUUAAUUCUCCCGGGCAGUCUGGGAUGCAGAUGCCGCCGCCAUUCUUCCGCACAGCUGAGUACGCGGAAGUCGUUGUUGCCUGCAACUCAGCCCUGCGAAGUUGAGGAGGGUUCGUUGUCCGGGCAUCGCAUCCUCCUGCUUGUCCUCUACCACAGGGUCGUCGCCAUCUUCCGUCACCACGACCACCUCUGCCAUGUCCUCUACGGCUCUACCACGGGUCAGCAAGAGCAUACCACCGCAUGUCCUCUUCACAUGAUAAGUACAGACUUGGCUAAGCGAUUUUAUGUCAAACUGACAUAA